rnacentral:rRNA from 1 species
CAUUUUGGACAAUGGGGCCAACCCUGCUCCAGCCAUCCCGCGUCUGCGAUGACGGCCUUCGGGCCGUAAAGCCCUUUUGCCAGGGAAGAAAAGGCUCUGGCCAAUACCUCGAGCUGCUGACGGUACCUGCAGACCAAGCACCGGCUACCUACGUGCCCGCCGCCGCGGUAAUACGUAGGGUGCAAGCGUUAAUCGGAAUUACUGGGCGUAAAGCGUGCGCAGGCGGUUCGGCAAGAAGGAUGUGAAAUCCCGGGGCUUAACCUUGGAACUGCAUUCUUAACUGCCGGGCUAGAGUAUGUCAGAGGGGGGUAGAAUUCCGCGUGUAGCAGUGAAAUGCGUAGAGAUGCGGAGGAAUACCGAUGGCGAAGGCAGCCCCCUGGGAUAAUACUGACGCUCAUGCACGAAAGCGUGGGGAGCAAAC